rnacentral:lncRNA from 1 species
AUAUAUAUAUAUAUAUAUAAUUUAAGUAAUUUCUUACAUUUCUUUCAAUUAUCAGCGACUCUUCAUUUUUAAUUUCAUGUUAGAAAUCUUUAUUUAUUUAAGCUCAUGGAUUUAUUCUUUUCAUUUUUUUUCUUUUUCUUCUUUUUCUUCAAUUCUAACUUCAACCCUGAUUACCAUAUGUCACCAUGUCAUUAUCGUCCUGUUAGUGUUAGUGUUUUUACGCCUUCAUCUUCUUUUCUUUCUUUUUCUCUUUCUUCCCCUUCUCUUGCUUCUUUUUCUCUUAUUCACACUCAUUUUCUCUUAAUAUACAACAAAAGUAAUCAAAAUAUGCAAAAAACUUGCCACUCAUUUUGCCAACAAGUUAUUGAAAAAAAUAU